GGAGAGAUGGCUCAGUGGUUAAGAGCACUGACUGCUCUUCUAGAGGUCCUGAGUUCAAUUCCCAGCAACCACA
rnacentral:tRNA from 1 species